CCGUUUUUUCUGUUUCACAGCAGUGACAAAGCAAACAGUGGUGAAAAUGAAGCUUCAGUCAGAGGCAGACAUGCACAGCACAGAGAUCCAGCAGCAGGUUUCACAGCAGCUGUCAGGCCUCAUGCUGUCAGAAGGACUGACAGACUUCAGGAUUCGUUGGAGGAAAGUCCAGAGUUACCGUGACGACCAGUUGAAGAAGCAGGAUGUGGACGGUGGCUGCAAAACUGAAGUCUGACUGGACUGAACCACUUCAUGUGUGAAGUUAAUAACAUGCUGUGCUGAGCUGUCUCAUCCUUUAAAUCUUUCAAUAUUUCAGAGUGUAAAGUUCCACCAACAGCUCAUUUGUUCAGCUGCAGUUGUAGUUUGGUAGAAAUUCUUUAAUCAGAGGUCCACUCACUAGUUUUCCUGAUAGGCUCUAGUCUCUUGUUUUGUUUUGCAGUGUCGCU